CCUACGGGAGGCAGCAGUGAGGAAUAUUGGGCAAUGGGCGCGAGCCUGAACCAGCCAAGCCGCGUGAAGGAUGACUGCCCUACGGGUUGUAAACUUCUUUUAUAAAGGAAUAAAGUGAGGCACGAGUGCCUUUUUGUAUGUACUUUAUGAAUAAGGAUCGGCUAACUCCGUGCCAGCAGCCGCGGUAAUACGGAGGAUCCGAGCGUUAUCCGGAUUUAUUGGGUUUAAAGGGAGCGUAGAUGGGUUGUUAAGUCAGGUGUGAAAGUUUGGGGCUCAACCGUAAAAUUGCAUUUGAUACUGGGAGUCUUGAGUACAGUUGAGGUAGGCGGAAUUCGUGGUGUAGCGGUGAAAUGCUUAGAUAUCACGAGGAACUCCGAUGGCGAAGGCAGCUUACUAAACUGCCACUGACGCUGAUGCUCGAAAGUGUGGGUAUCAAACAGGAUUAGAUACCCGGGUAGUC
rnacentral:rRNA from 1 species